UACGUAGGUGGCAAGCGUUGUCCGGAAUCAUUGGGCGUAAAGAGCGCGUAGGUGGCUUGUCAGGUCCGAUGUGAAAACCUGGGGCUCAACUCCAGGCCUGCAUCGGAAACCGGCUUGCUAGAGUCUGGGAGAGUAGAGUGGAAUUCCUGGUGUAGCGGUGAAAUGCGUAGAUAUCAGGAGGAACACCGGUAGCGAAGGCGGCUCCCUGGAACAGUACUGACGCUGAGGCGCGAAAGCUAGGGGAGCGAACAGGAUUAGAUAU
rnacentral:rRNA from 1 species